rnacentral:rRNA from 1 species
ACUGAAACAUCUAAGUACCCGGAGGAGAAGAAAACAAAAGUGAUUCCGUAAGUAGCGGCGAGCGAACGCGGAUUAGCCCAAACCAAUCUUGUUACGGCAAGACUGGGGUUGUAGGACCACGCUAUUGAUUGUGUAAUGAAUUAGAAUCUGUUGGAAAUCAGAACCAAAGAGGGUGAUAGUCCCGUAUAAGUAAAGCACAUAAAUCAUAGUGGUAUCCUGAGUAGUGCGGGACACGUGUAAUCCUGUAUGAAUUUGCCGGGACCAUCCGGUAAGGCUAAAUACUCCUGAGAGACCGAUAGUGAACUAGUACCGUGAGGGAAAGGUGAAAAGAACCGUGAAUAACGGAGUGAAAUAGAUCCUGAAACCAUACGCUUACAAGCGGUCGGAGUCACGCUUAUGCGUGAUGACGGCGUGCCUUUUGCAUAAUGAGCCUACGAGUUACCGUUUCUAGCAAGGUUAAGCACUUCAGGCGCGGAUCCGUAGCGAAAGCGAGUCUGAAUAGGGCGUAUAGUUAGUGGCGGUAGACGCGAAACCGUGUGAUCUACCCAUGGGCAGGUUGAAGCUGUAGUAACAUACAGUGGAGGACCGAACCCGUUGACGUUGAAAAGUCUUGGGAUGACCUGUGGGUAGGGGUGAAAGGCCAAUCAAACUCGGAAAUAGCUCGUACUCCCCGAAAUGCAUUUAGGUGCAGCGUAUUAUUAGUUUUAUAGAGGUAGAGCUACUGAUUGGAUGCGGGGGCUUCACCGCCUACCAAUUCCUGACAAACUCCGAAUGCUAUAAAAUGAUGUA